rnacentral:rRNA from 1 species
CGGGUGGCAGCAGUGGGGAAUUUUGCGCAAUGGACGAAAGUCUGACGCAGCAACGCCGCGUGGGUGAUGAAGGUCUUCGGACUGUAAAACCCUGUCGUCAGGGACGAAGGUUUGGGGGUUAAUAACCCUUAAGCUUGACGGUACCUGGAGAGGAAGCCCCGGCUAACUCUGUGCCAGCAGCCGCGGUAAUACAGAGGGGGCAAGCGUUAUUCGGAAUUAUUGGGCGUAAAGGGCGCGUAGGCGGUUUUUUAAGUCAGAUGUGUAAUCCCCGAGCUCAACUUGGGAACUGCAUCUGAGACUGGAAGGCUAGAGUACUGGAGAGGGUGGUGGAAUUCCUCGUGUAGCGGUGAAAUGCGUAGAGAUGAGGAGGAACACCAGUGGCGAAGGCGGCCACCUGGACAGUAACUGACGCUGAGGCGCGAAAGUGUGGGUAGCAAACAGGAUUAGAUACCCCAGU